rnacentral:lncRNA from 1 species
CUUGGUACAAAAUCAAUCUUUACCUCCAAAAACUGAAGCUUGGCAGAAAGGUUGUAAGCAAAUCCCUGAGGGAUGAAGGAAUAGUCAGCCUCAUCGCCUGGUGUAACAUCCUCAAUAGUUAGCUUAUGGAUCCUGCCAAUAUGGGAGAUCUUUAUCCUUUCAUCUGGCACCACCUCCUUUCCGUUUUUCAACCAGAUUCCUUUCACAUUUUCAUCAGAAACUUCACACUUGAAGACUGCCUGGUCACGUGCCUUCACUGUCAGAUCCGCAAUGCUCUGAUAAACUUCCAGCUUUUUCUCUUGUACAAUUAGCUCAGCAACUGAUACUCCACCGUUUGUCUUCACUGUGUAGUGCCCACUAUCCUCCUUGGUUGACUCAUUAAUAAUUAGAUACUGCUUUUUUCCAUCUUUCUUAAAUCUGUAUUUGAACGUUUCUUCCCGUGUCAGCUCAACUCCAUCCUUUUCCCAUUUCACAGUAGCUCCUUCCUCAGACACUUCACACUCAAACUCCACUCUCUCUCCAACCAUCACCAUUUGAUCCUCCAGGGGGUGAGUGAUCAGGAUUGGGGGCUCUUUUACAAAUAAUUCUGUGAAGCUCUUCUCCUCAGCUACUACACAUUCAUAGGCUGCAUCGUCAGCCAGGGAGCAGUGGUUUAUGGUCAGUAUUCUCUUAUUCCCAAUGGCCUCAAAAAUGUAUCUGAAAAAAGAAUGAAAUUGUAGUUAUCAGAGAAUAUCUCUUCUGGACUCAAUUGGCAUCUUCCUCUGCCAGGCAGAGAAGAAAGCUCUGCAGUUUUUCUCAUGUCAGUGGCAAGAUAUGUAAAGACUUA